rnacentral:rRNA from 1 species
CCGGUGGCGGCUGGGCAUGCGGCGCAUUAGCUUGACGGCGGGGUAACGGCCCACCGUGGCGACGAUGCGUAGGGGUUCUGAGAGGAAGGCCCCCCACACUGGAACUGAGACACGGUCCAGACUCCUACGGGAGGCAGCAGUGAGGAAUAUUGGUCAAUGGGCGGAAGCCUGAACCAGCCAAGUCGCGUGAGGGAAUAAGGCCCUACGGGUCGUAAACCUCUUUUGCCGGGGAGCAAGGGCCGGGACGCGUCCCGGCCCGGAGAGUACCCGGAGAAAAAGCAUCGGCUAACUCCGUGCCAGCAGCCGCGGUAAUACGGAGGAUGCGAGCGUUAUCCGGAUUUAUUGGGUUUAAAGGGUGCGUAGGCGGGCUUUUAAGUCAGCGGUAAAAAUUCGGGGCUCAACCCCGUCCGGCCGUUGAAACUGGGGGCCUUGAGUGGGCGAGAAGAAGGCGGAAUGCGUGGUGUAGCGGUGAAAUGCAUAGAUAUCACGCAGAACCCCGAUUGCGAAGGCAGCCUUCCGGCGCCCUACUGACGCUGAGGCACGAAAGUGCGGGGAUCGAACAGGAUUAGAUACCCUGGUAGUCC